CACAAAUGUAUAGUACUCGGUUUUCACCGGUCUGUAACGAUGAAUGUUCCUCUCUCACUAUUAUUACCAUUACGCGGAAUAAUUACAUUAGCUGAGGCCACUUCCGGGCAUCGAUCUGUAACGCGAAUCAUUCCUCUGAAGAUCUGAGAGGAUGAAAUGGUGAUAUAUGGUGGAGUGUAAGGGGAAAAACCUGACUUUCAGUCACUCUCGGAGUUCCAGUCUGUGGAAUUGUGUGGACAGUUCCUGGUAUUGCCUACAUAUCUUCCUGCGCAGCUUUUUAAGUGCUUUAAUGAGAUAAAGUGGGCAAGGGAAAAAAAAAGUCAAAGGGAUGCUGCGGGUGAUAAAUGGGAAUAUGAAGAUGUGGCGUUUGGGGAACGCGCUUCUAAUUAAAGACAUGGCCAUGUAACCCCUCGAGGGACAGCUCCUUCCGUCUGCGAGCCUCAAUAAAUUGGCGAGAAUCGACGGCUAAUGUUUCAAGACUUCACGAACGAGCGGCGCGCGCUCAAUGCCCUCGAGGAGCUUUCGGGAGUUUUCACCUUAAGUCUCGGAAACUUCACAGGAGAGACCUACCGCACACACUUCCCACGCUCGAGUAUAAUAAAGGACAAUUCUCUUUAAAGGAUAGCUCACUCUCGCUUCGUCUCUUCGCGUUCCAGAGACUGAGCGCGCGAAACUCAACCAAAUUAAUCGCGCGCUAAAUCGCCCCAAAGCGCAAACGGAUUGAGGAAACGUAAAAACACCACGACACGACAGUCCACAGGCUGUACCACGAUCAAGGACUUGGGCAGUGCCGGACUUCUGCGCUCUCUGGUUGCGGGAGCGAUGCGCGCCUUGCGAGCUCCAGUGGUGGUCAUGGGACUCGUAUUGUUAAUCUGCACUACCGUACACAGCGAUGCCAGCGCGAACAACGACGACAACAAGGACGAGAAUACGUGGUUCAGACGGAUAAUAGACAUCAUGAGACAGAUGGAAAACAGCGCUGGUGUCGAGCGCGCGCAAUCAACAUCAAAGACAGAGCUCGCGCUACAGACAAAGGACUCAAAACAUAACCUCAAAACGAAGAAUGGGGAACCAAUUCUAGAAAUCUUUCCGAGAGACCUCCGAAAGAAAGAGAAGAUAAUAAAACACUUAACAGGUCCUCUUUAUUUCAGUCCAAAAUGCAGAAAGCAUGUCUACAGGCUUUACCACAACACAAGAGACUGCACAAUCCCUGCAUGUGCCCCAGAUAUACCCCUGCACAUGGACUUUUAACACAGAAAAAUAUAGCCCACAAAUUCAGGACUCAUCCAGCUGACUAUCCUACUCAUCCAGCUUUACUCCUGUCCUCAGACUACAAAAGGUGUGCACGGCUCCUGACGCGACUGGCAGAGAGUCCGAGGUGUCAAGAGAGUUAACUUUAGCAGGUUGAAGCCAAACCAGAGUGACCCAGAGAUGGAAAAAGCAGUCAAUGUGCCUUUAGGACAAGAGAAUUC